rnacentral:tRNA from 1 species
GGAGCCCUAUCCUUGACCCCGGCAACGUCACGGGUCAGCCCCCACCAGGGCCCCAGGCACGAAGCCACCCCACCGG